ACUGUAAUGUGGGCACUUACAGU
rnacentral:piRNA from 1 species